CUCCCGGAGGCGUUGUCUGCGACUCGGCGGAGGCUCCAACUUCCAGUGGCCCGGUCGGGAAAGAUCAGAGCCUCCUAAGAAAUAUCCAGAAGUCAAGCCAUGGAUCCACCUGCACGUAAAGAAAAAACCAAAGUUAAAGAAUCUGUCAGCAGAGUUGAGAAGGCCAAACAGAAAUCAGCCCAGCAGGAGCUGAAGCAGAGACAAAGAGCAGAGGCAGACCCCCUGAGAGCUGUGGUCCUUUACCUUCCCAUUCCCACCUGGAUCCGGGUCCUCAGAUGAUAUGACUGCAUUGUGCUUUGGUGAACAAUAUGAGGGUUGCUAUAAGAAACAGCCCUGAAGCAGGAGAACAGAAGCUACAGAUAAGAAAACCAUUGAUCAGAGAAAUGGUGAUAUAGCCAAGGGAGCUCUCACUGGAGGAACAGAGCUAUCUAUACUUCCGUGUACAACAAAUGCUCUGGGAAAUGGAGAACCAGUUGCCAGCCCAUAUGUGGUUACCUCACACCAAUCAAAAGUGACUGUGGAGAGCACCCCCAAUUUGGAAAACCAAAUGAAAAUGGAGUAUCUCUGUUCAGAAUGAAAAUUUUGAAGAAAUUAUAAAUUUACCCAUUGGAUCGAAACCAUCCAGAUUAGAUGUCACUAACAGUAAGAGCCCAGAAGUUCCUUUGAAUCCAGUUUUGGCCUUUGAUGAUGAAGGAACGCUUGGGCCCC
rnacentral:lncRNA from 10 species